rnacentral:rRNA from 1 species
UUAAAAAGCUCGUAGUUGAAUUUCGGGAUCAAAUUGUCGGUCGUGCCUUGGUACGCACUGGCAUUAUUGGUCCCUACCUUCUGAAGAACCGCGAUGUCAUUAAUUUGGUGUCGUGGGGAAUCAGGACUGUUACUUUGAAAAAAUUAGAGUGUUUAAAGCAGGCGCACGCUUGAAUACAUUAGCAUGGAAUAAUGAAAUAGGACGUUUGAUUCUAUUUUGUUGGUUUCUAGGAUCGACGUAAUGAUUAAUAGGGAUAGUUGGGGG